GCGGCCCUGCCGCUGGGGCGGGUGGGCAGCAGGGCCGAGAGCUCCGCGGCGGGCGGCGGCCCGGCCACUCAAUGCGCACGCGCCGCCGCUCCGCGCGCCUCCCCCCUCCCCCGGCUGCCACGGGCUCCGCGAGACGCGGCGAGGUCUGGGGUUGCUAUAGCUACCGACGCCGGCGCGGGGAGCGGCCCGUCCGGAGGGGAGGCCCGGCGAGCGCCCUGGCCGGAGAGCAGCGGAGGCGGGGCAGGUGUGCCGAGGGGCGCUGAGCGGCCGCCGGGACCCCGCACCUUCGCCGAUCCGCGGCCGGGCCCCUGCUGCGGCCGAAAGUUUAGAAAUGUACAACCUGUAAUUUAGAAAAUGGAAGAUACAUCAGAUAGUGGCAGCAAAGUAGAUAAAACCGAAACGUCAGAUACACACCAGCCAGCUGUGUUCCCCCAGAUAAAAGAGUUUGCAGAUGCUAAUGAUGUGGACCCAGCAGAGAAACCUUUGCUCCCAGAAAAAGCUACAGACACAAUGCAAUCAAAUGAGGAAUGUGAGCAGCAGUCUGCUCUGGAGCAGCCAGAUGUGGAGGAACAGGAGCAGUCAAGUAUAGUGGAGUGGAAACUACCUGCAGAAGGACUAGAUAAUCAAGAAGAACCGCUAGAAAGUAUUGAGCGAGAUGAAUUUGAGCCAGAUGCCUCAAGCAUCACAUCAUCUGAUAAUGCACCUCCUGUUAUAAUUAAAAAGUACACUACUUUACCUGAAUUAGGAAAUUUAGAAAAGGAGAAACAAAGGUCUCAAAACUUAGUACUGUCAGAAGAUACAUCAAGUGCCACAGUAACAGGAAAUGUGAUUGAGGAUAAUGAAAAUCCUACAGGGACUGUGGCAAAGUCUCCUGAAACUAUCAAGUCUGAGGUGUUAUGUCUUGAUCCAGAACGUUCUUCUAGGAAAGCAAUUCAACAGGAAUGCCACAUGCCUGACAUAAUAACUGUCAGAGUACAAACAGAUUUAGAUUCGUUCCAAGAUGUAACUGUAAAAAUAGAAAGACCUACCUAUCAUAAACCAUUUCUCGGUGGAUUUAAACAUAGGAUAACAGGAGUGGAAUUUCAUAAUGCAGGCUCACAAACAGUACCCAAAAAACGACCUGACAAAGGGAUCAAAGUAUUUUGUAGGGAAACACAGACCGUUUUUGAGAAAAAUAAGCUUCAACAAACAGUAAAUACAACAUCCACACAGAUGGCUAAAAUUGGCCUUUAUGUGUCAAACAUGACUGACAAACUAAUAAGACCUGGAAAGUAUGUUACAGCGGAUGAAUAUCAUAAACAUAGACUUGAAGCAGUAGUAGUAUUACAGACCUAUUUCCGUCGUUGGCAUGCUAUAAAUCUAGUACAAAAGCUGAGGGAAGAAAAGAGGUUAAGGCUGGAAUGGGAAGCACAAGAAGAGUUAAACAAAAAAAAAGAGAAAGAAGAAAAAAUAAGAAGUGAGCACAAGCGGAGGCUGAAUCCUAAAACAAAAGAAGACUAUGAGCUGCUUUACCAUGCUUUAGAAUCAUGGAGGCAGGAGGAGAUGGAACAAUUUAACAGAACUCUUACUGGAACCGAAAGAAAGGCAGCCCUUUGUGGAUUUCUAGAGCAAGAGACACAGCUGAUUGCUUCCAUUGGGAGACACAAACUAGAUGCAGAUGAAGAGAAUCAACAAAAAGCAGUACUGCGCUUUCUGGAUAAGUGUGCACAGCCUAAGAGUUGGAAAGCAUUUGAUGGAAAAAUCACUGAAAUGGAUACACAGUACACACUCCGUGCCAGAGAACUAUUUGAAAUCUACCGCAGCAUUAGCAUGAACGAAAUCCUGAAAGAUGAGAGAAUAGAUGUGCUGUUAACACUCAGACGUACAGUGAAGGAACAUGGAUGUAAGUUAACGCAAGAAAUAGUGGAAUUAAUUGACAGAGAAGUCGAUCUUAUGUUGAGAGACGUGAAAGAAUGCAACUUAGAAGGACUGAGGAAAAGAAUUUGUACAUUAUUUCUACAGUAUAUUAAAACUCCAAAAUUUAACCCUGAAGUUGCUAGAAUACUUAAGGUUCCACCAGAUCCCUUAAAGCUUUAUAAAAAUGUUAACUUCUGUCGUAGCUGCAAAAAUUACUUGCCAUCUACUGAGUUCUCUGUUCCUGCUAAUUCACGCACCAUUGGCAGAUGUCGCUUAUGUUGUAAGAUCGAUAAUGAGGCUCGGCAGCGAGAAGAGUUUUUGAAGUACAGACUUAUACUAAAAAAUCUCAGAGAGUCUGAAGCUGAUUAUCAGGAUGAUGCUAAAAUUGUUUACUUAGUUCAGCAACAAGAUCUGCAGUACAUGGUUGAGAAUAUAUGGGGUUGUCAGUCAGCCCUUAGUGCCUCUGAUGAUCUGUAUGAUUUGGUUAUGGUUAGAUGGGAUAAGCACCGUGAGUGGUCUCCAUGGAACACUAUUCUCCUCACUAAGGAUGAGGCAGAUGCACAUCUUAAACUGCGCAGCCUUCAGGAGGCUUACGAAGCGGCAUUUAUUCACAGAAUAAACCAUAAGCAUAUCCGUGCAAAAAAAUACUUUGCUCAGAUUCCAGCGAUGGCAUCCUUUUUGCAUAGGAGUGGCGAUCAGACUGUAUUAACAAAUGAAUUUUUAAUAGCUAAGCCUAUUCCUACUGGUACAAAAGCAUAACUCAUAGGAUAAGUUAACUGCAUUAUGACUUCCCUAAUGGUUUUAAAGAAAUGUCCUUUUUCACCAAUACCUGAAUAAUUUACAUAGAUAAAAAUAAACUUCUGAGGAUAAAAUAGUUUGAUCCUGACCAGUCAAUAUAACUAUAUGUCAUGUUUUAUAACCUCCUUAUUUAAAAAGUAAAAUAUUGUUGAUGAGCUUUUUAAAUUGCAAGUAAUUUUUAGAGCAGUGACUAUCUUUCUGUGCGUGCCUGUGUUGCUUGGACCAUUUUGUCUGCAGUAUAAAUACUUCUGCUAAGGGAAAGUAGCUAAUUCUGUGUCACUUUUCCUUUUUUUUUUUCAUUAGAAAAGUCAUACAAUAUAAUUCUAGAUCAUUUUGCUGUUUUUAAGCUUAUAAGCCAAAAACCCUAAAUUCCUACAGGACAGAAUUGAUACACCCUUCCAAAUAUAGGUGCCUUGCCUUGCAAACAUUUGUACAAAAGAAUAACUUUACCUUUUUGGCCGAUUCUGUUGGUCAUAAUGGAACUGCCAGCAUGUAAUUAUUAUAUCUAAGACCUUGAAAUUAUUUUAAAUCAGGGUCAUUAUUUGAAAUACACAAAACAGACUGUUUGGAACUUGUUAAUUUCUUGAAGAGCUUGUGUCUUGAAGAGCUUGUGUCAUUACAACAGAAGUCAGUUAUCUCUUUAAACAUAUUUGGUUAUGUUUAUGUUUGGUUGUAGUUACAGAGAAAGGUAUUAUAUGAUAUACAUUCAGUAAAGUCCUACGGAAAGCUGCAAACUUUUGACGACUGCUUGAAACUUCCACUCUAGACACUUCUUUGACCCAGGGCAAAAUGUUUUGCUCUGAGAAAUAUAACUGUCUAGGAAAAAGGAGUGGCCUUUAAAAACAGAAAGAAACAUAUAUUUAGCAGCAAACAGCCACGAACUGUAUUGGAUUCCUCAACAGCAUAUGCACCAUAGACCUGGUAUUGAACGAUGCAUGCUAAUUUCAGUUGAAGACUUUUUGUUGUCUUUAAUGGUAUUCAGCUCCUGGAUUUUAGUUCAAUACACACAGAACUUCAAGCACAUGAGCAAUCCAGUUGACUUUAUGUGUUUCUCAGGAUUUGAGCCUUAAGGUAGGAGUGACUGCUAAGAUUGGGCUUCUGCCAAAGUAAUAAAAAGAUUUCUGAAGAAAAGUAUGGGCUGAAGGACAAACAGGAAAGCAUCAAUCAUGUAGGUAAUAGCCUACGUCUUUACACUUGUCCUCUUUUUUUUUUUUCCCCUCUCAAAUGGCUGUUUAAAAGAAAUGUACAUUACAACCCCUGAGGGAUGAUUUUAAUAAACAGUAAGGAUCUAGUUGAAGCAAAUGCGAGAGGCCUCUAGUCCAUAGAUUUCAGUGGCAUGCACAGUUGGAGAAUUUUGGAAUUCAUAGAAUCAUAGAGCAGUUCAGAUCAAAAGGGACCACAGGAGUCCAAACACCAGCUCAAAGCAUGAUAAACUAUGAGCUCAAACCAGAUUUCUCAGGGUUUUUUUCAUUCACGUCUUGAAAACCUUCAAGGAUAGAGACUGCAUAACCUCUUGGAGCAACUUGUUCCAGUGCUUGACUGUCUUCAUCUUGAAAAUGUUUUUUAUUCUGUCUAGUGGGAAGCUCCUUUCUUUCGCUGUAGUCUGUUGUCUCGCAUCCUCUUACCAUGCACCACUGAAAAUAGCCUGGCUCCAUCUUCUCAAUAAUUUCCUAAUGUGCUGGAAGGCUGCUAUCAGCUUCUCAGCCUUCUUUUUUCAAGGCUAAACAAGUCUUCUUUCUUCAGCUUCCCUUCAAAUGUCAAGUGCUCCAGACCCCUGAGCAUCUUGACGGCCCUAUGCUUAACUGGGGUUAAUCAAAAUCCUUCUUGUUUUGUGGGACCCAAAACUGAACAUGGUAUUCUAGACUCCUGCAUGACAAGUUCUGUAUUCUAGAUUCUAUUCAGUAUUUGCAAGAAAAGUGUUUUGGCCUGCAAGAGAAUAGGUUACCCGCAAAAUAUUUGUGGUUUAUGCAGAAGUCCAGAAGGCAGUCUUGAUAGUGCUGUUUAAUUAUGCGAAGAUAUCUCUCUGUAUAAAUACUUAAAAAUUUGUAUUGCACUUAAAAUGCAUUAAAUACUUGACUAUUAUCUGGGACAUGACUGGUGAUUUUGAACCUUCAAGGGAAGAUGAUAUGUGACUGCCUGUGUAUUAAGUCAAAACUUAUGUCUUCUUUCAAAUUGGUGUCCAGAAAUGGCUUUUGAAAGAACAGGAAUUGAAUGAUUUGAAGAACAUGAUACUUCAAAAGAGAAUUGAUGGAAAAAUGGAAAAAGAAUUAUAUUUUGGGUAUCUAAUUGAAUCCUUUUGUUAGGUCAAAGCCAUGUAUAGCCAUCAUAAUUCAAAAAUACGUGCUAUUCGCAAGAAGGUUGUGGAAUCUAUUGGAAACAAAACCUGUGCUUUGGAGUCUAGAUCUUUCCUGGAUGAUGAGAUCAAAUGAUUGAAACUGUUAUGCCUCUUUGGAGAAGAACAAAAUAUAAGUUGAAAUUUUGACCUUUUCUUCUUACUUCAGAGAAGUGGCUAAAGUGAUAGGCUUAUGAAGUCUCUUAAAUCCUAGCUUAAAUGUUAAGUCCAUGAGGAAUCCACACUCCAGAAAUACUUCCAACCCAUAGAUACUGUCUAAUAAGAAAGGGUGUCAGAGUCUGCAUGGCUUUCACUUCUUUUGCACUAGCUGUGGCGGACAGAUGAGUGAACUUUUGCCUUAAACAUUCCUUGGUACAUAAGGUGCAAGCAAACCAUAACCCCGAACAAGCCAUCUGUUCCCGGCAGAAACAGGACUGAGCUGCUGCGACCCCUGAAAUGGUCUCCCUGCGACCACCCGAGACACACCGAGCCUGCGCUGAACCAGACCAUGAUCGGGCAGAGACUUUGGGACCUGGACUGCAAAUUACUGCCGCUUAGCACAACUUUUAUAAAACUUGCUUAGCAUGAGUAGCUAAAUUUGCUGAAGCCUUAGGCCGCACUCCCUAGUUCAGUGAGAAAGGGCCCCAGAGCUGGUGCAGGCGGGAAAGAUAAGGGAGUUACAAGCAGUUUGCAUUCCUAUGCGUCACACUCCGGGAGGGACGAUGUCAAGGCUUUGAAAUAAGGCCUGCUUGGGCGCCAGGACCCUGGGAAACAAAGCCUCCCCUCACGGCUGAAACAGUGUUAAUUAGGGGGGGUCUGGAUUAUAUCCUCUUUGUCAGGACCUUGGAAGAUAACACCUACUGUCACUGCUGGGGCAGUGCUAAUUGCUGGAACAACACCUGUUUGUCAGGGCCCUGAGAAAGAAGGGCAGAACCCGAGGAAUCAAAACACAUUUGUCAGCAGAAACCGCAACAGUAAAGAUAAGGCAGAAAAGCAGCCUGCCUGGGAACAACGAUGAGACCCAAUAGGGAGCAGGAGACCCCAGACCCAAAAAUUAUUAUUGGUCUGAACUACCGCGUGAGGGGUGGGAAACUUAAUUUGAAAAAGCUAUAAUUGCCCAGGGAUUUCUUUGUUCGGGGUCCCUCUUCGGAGGCACCCAACUUGAGCUGUAACUACUGCAUGCGUGUCAUUACAAUUUAUUUAUUUAAUUUGCCUUGAUUUGGCUCUGAACUUUUCAGCGGGAACCUAGGGUCGGACCCUGCUCGAGUUGUAAUUACUGCACGCGCAUCGCUAAAAUUUACACCCAGGGUGAAGAGGACCAACGGGACCCCGCUGGAUCCACGGGUGGUGAUAUCUCUUUCUCUCUCCCCCUUUUCUCUCUCUCUCUUUCUCUCUCUCCUCCCCUUUGCCUUUCCCACCUUUUCUCCCCACUCCGUGGAAAAUAAAGUUAAAAGGUUGUACGAUAUUUGACCGGUUUUAGCGUCUUAAUCUCGUCCUUGGAAUCGUAACGGCCCCCCCCCCCCGAUAUUGGAUCGGGACACUAGCAGAGACGCAUGGCCAGUUAUCACCUGCAGCUUACCGCACAGGAUUCUUUCGUGAGCAGGACUCUUCAAGCAGGAAGCAAAAUUUGUUUUCUGCCCACCUCCAACACCACUGUUAAGCCUUUUCCAGAGGGAAAAGCUCCAGCCUUUAUUCCACAAGCGCAAGUGGAUAAUAUGUUAAUUUGGCAAAGAUGAUCAUGCAUUUUGCCUCCCCUCUCCCAAGAGAACCCUCUGUACUUUUUCUGGGUUGUAAAUUCCCCUAUUAACUCUCAAAGGAAGAGAAACUCAGAGCAAUCACUCUGCACCUCCAAAAAGUGAUCUCCCCAAAAGAUGUCCCAAUUAGCAAAGCAUUAAUUCCAUUCUUAUAUCAAAAGGUGAUUGUAAAUAGUGAUAAAGGAGGAUUACAGAUUAACUAAUGUGAGAGGAGCAAAGUAACUGCCAACCAAUAUUUGGCACUUGGAAAAUACUUUUUCAAAAGGAAAUAAUACUAGUAAUAGCUGAGAUAAAAAAUAUCCUCUGAGUCCUGGAUUCAUUUAAUUAUUUUUCUUUGUUUGUGUGUUUUUUUCUAAAAGAACCUAAAUUUGAGUAAGUCUAUUACCUUAGCUGGGGGAUUCUUUAAUAUACUGUGGUAGUACUGUGUUCGCUCCUAAACCUAUGGCACCAGGAUCAUAUUUGCAUGCAAAAUUGAUGUCACUUAUUUUUUUCACUUGUCUGUAGAUGAUUCUUUUUGCUUAUCUCACACUGUAAAUUGUCCUUGUUACAAGAGUUGUCCCUUUUAGCAUGGUUUAGCGUCCUAAAUUUAUCUUCCUCCCACACAAAUCUGACAUUCACACUUUUUUAAAAUUCAGAAUUUUUUAAAUCAGAAAUGAAGAAUUAUGAAGCUGAGAGGAUUUGUUUCCGUUUUUAAAGAAAAGGAUUUGUAAGUGAAAGAAUUUGAGCCUCCAUCAUUUCAAUACUUCCUCCCUGUUAUUUCUUGUGAGUCCCAUAUUUCAACUUUGACAGGAUGAGAAUUAUGUGGAAUAUGUGCUGUGCAUAGGAUUGUAAAGAAAGCAUGUAUAAAGUCAGAGAAAUGGGUAGGAAUAGAAAGUGAAUAUGGGGUAUGUCAAUAUUAUAGCUUCACUUAAUAAAAUUAUUUGAACUAAGCAGA